rnacentral:rRNA from 1 species
GACGAACGCUGGCGGCGUGCUUAACACAUGCAAGUCACGGGGGCCCGCGAAGGGUCGAACCGGCGAACGGGUGCGUAACACGUGAACGACCUGCCCAAUUGCGGGGGAUAGCCGGCCCAACGGCCGGGUAAUACCGCAUACGCUUCCCUGGGGGCAUUCUUGGGGAAGGAAACCUACGGGGCGAUUGGAGGGGCUCGCGGCCUAUCAGCUAGUUGGCGAGGUAACGGCUCACCAAGGCGAUGACGGGUAGCUGGUCUGAGAGGAUGGCCAGCCACAUUGGGACUGAGAGACGGCCCAGACUCCUACGGGAGGCAGCAGUGGGGAAUCUUGCGCAAUGGCCGAAAGGCUGACGCAGCGACGCCGCGUGGAGGAUGACGCCC